rnacentral:rRNA from 1 species
GACGAACGCUGGCGGCGUGCUUAACACAUGCAAGUCGAACGGAAAGGCCCUGCUUUUGUGGGGUGCUCGAGUGGCGAACGGGUGAGUAACACGUGAGUAACCUGCCCUUGACUUUGGGAUAACUUCAGGAAACUGGGGCUAAUACCGGAUAGGAGCUCCUGCUGCAUGGUGGGGGUUGGAAAGUUUCGGCGGUUGGGGAUGGACUCGCGGCUUAUCAGCUUGUUGGUGGGGUAGUGGCUUACCAAGGCUUUGACGGGUAGCCGGCCUGAGAGGGUGACCGGCCACAUUGGGACUGAGAUACGGCCCAGACUCCUACGGGAGGCAGCAGUGGGGAAUAUUGCACAAUGGGCGGAAGCCUGAGGCAGCAACUCCGCGUGCGGGAUGACGGCCUUCGGGUUGUAAACCGCUUUCGCCUGUGACGAAGCGUGAGUGACGGUAAUGGGUAAAGAAGCACCGGCUAACUACGUG